AUCGCUUCUCGGCCUUUUGGUUAAAUUAAGUGUAGUCUCUUCUUAUCAUUUUAAUAUCUGAUACAUCCUCUACCCAAGGACAACAUAUUAAAUGGAUUUUUGGAAGUAGAGCAAGGUUUAGUGGUGCAUUCCUGUAAUCCCAGUGGCUUAGGAGGCUGAGGCAGGAGGACCACAAGCUCAAAGCCAGCCUCAGCAACU
ensembl:snRNA U2 U2 spliceosomal RNA